AUUGAACGCUGGCGGCAGGCCUAACACAUGCAAGUCGAGCGGAUGAAGGGAGCUUGCUCCUGGAUUCAGCGACGGACGGGUGAGUAAUGCCUAGGAAUCUGCCUGGUAGUGGGGGAUAACGUCCGGAAACGGGCGCUAAUACCGCAUACGUCCUGAGGGAGAAAGUGGGGGAUCUUCGGACCUCACGCUAUCAGAUGAGCCUAGGUCGGAUUAGCUAGUUGGUGGGGUAAAGGCCUACCAAGGCGACGAUCCGUAACUGGUCUGAGAGGAUGAUCAGUCACACUGGAACUGAGACACGGUCCAGACUCCUACGGGAGGCAGCAGUGGGGAAUAUUGGACAAAGGGCGAAAGCCUGAUCCAGCCAUGCCGCGUGUGUGAAGAAGGUCUUCGGAUUGUAAAGCACUUUAAGUUGGGAGGAAGGGCAGUAAGUUAAUACCUUGCUGUUUUGACGUUACCAACAGAAUAGGCACCGGCUAACUUCGUG
rnacentral:rRNA from 1 species